UACGAAGGGGGCUAGCGUUGCUCGGAAUUACUGGGCGUAAAGCGCUCGUAGGCGGCUUCUUAAGUCAGGGGUGAAAUCCUGGAGCUCAACUCCAGAACUGCCUUUGAUACUGAGGAGCUUGAGUCCGGGAGAGGUGAGUGGAACUGCGAGUGUAGGGGUGAAAUUCGUAGAUAUUCGCAAGAACACCAGUGGCGAAGGCGGCUCACUGGCCCGGUACUGACGCUGAGGUGCGAAAGCGUGGGGAGCAAACGGG
rnacentral:rRNA from 1 species